rnacentral:rRNA from 1 species
GACGAACUUUGGCGGCGUGCUUAACACAUGCAAGUCGAACGGAAAGGCCCUGCUUUUGUGGGGUGCUCGAGUGGCGAACGGGUGAGUAACACGUGAGUAACCUGCCCUUGACUUUGGGAUAACUUCAGGAAACUGGGGCUAAUACCGGAUAGGAGCUCCUGCUGCAUGGUGGGGGUUGGAAAGUUUCGGCGGUUGGGGAUGGACUCGCGGCUUAUCAGCUUGUUGGUGGGGUAGUGGCUUACCAAGGCUUUGACGGGUAGCCGGCCUGAGAGGGUGACCGGCCACAUUGGGACUGAGAUACGGCCCAGACUCCUACGGGAGGCAGCAGUGGGGAAUAUUGCACAAUGGGCGGAAGCCUGAUGCAGCAACGCCGCGUGCGGGAUGACGGCCUUCGGGUUGUAAACCGCUUUCGCCUGUGACGAAGCGUGAGUGACGGUAAUGGGUAAAGAAGCACCGGCUAACUACGUGCCAGCAGCCGCGGUGAUACGUAGGGUGCGAGCGUUGUCCGGAUUUAUUGGGCGUAAAGGGCUCGUAGGUGGUUGAUCGCGUCGGAAGUGUAAUCUUGGGGCUUAACCCUGAGCGUGCUUUCGAUACGGGUUGACUUGAGGAAGGUAGGGGAGAAUGGAAUCCCUGGUGGAGCGGUGGAAUGCGCAGAUAUCAGGAGGAACACCAGUGGCGAAGGCGGUUCUCUGGGCCUUUCCUGACGCUGAGGAGCGAAAGCGUGGGGAGCGAACAGGCUUAGAUACCCUGGUAGUCCACGCUGUAAACGGUGGGUACUAGGUGUGGGGUCCAUUCCACGGGUUCCGUGCCGUAGCUAACGCUUUAAGUACCCCGCCUGGGGAGUACGGCCGCAAGGCUAAAACUCAAAGGAAUUGACGGGGCCCCGCACAAGCGGCGGAGCAUGCGGAUUAAUUCGAUGCAACGCGUAGAACCUUACCUGGGUUUGACAUGGAUCGGGAGCGCUCAGAGAUGGGUGUGCCUCUUUUGGGGUCGGUUCACAGGUGGUGCAUGGCUGUCGUCAGCUCGUGUCGUGAGAUGUUGGGUUAAGUCCCGCAACGAGCGCAACCCUUGUUCACUGUUGCCAGCACGUUAUGGUGGGGACUCAGUGGAGACCGCCGGGGUCAACUCGGAGGAAGGUGGGGAUGACGUCAAGUCAUCAUGCCCCUUAUGUCCAGGGCUUCACGCAUGCUACAAUGGCUGGUACAGAGAGUGGCGAGCCUGUGAGGGUGAGCGAAUCUCGGAAAGCCGGUCUCAGUUCGGAUUGGGGUCUGCAACUCGACCUCAUGAAGUCGGAGUCGCUAGCAAUCGCAGAUCAGCAACGCUGCGGUGAAUACGUUCCCGGGGCU